GUGACAGCCGCCGCGGUAAUACGGAGGGUGCAAGCAUUAAUCGGAUUUAUUGGGCGUAAAGGGCGCGUAGGCGGGCAUGUAAGUCGGAUGUGAAAUCCCGGGGCUCAACCCCGGAACAGCAUUCGAAACUACAUAUCUAGAGGGUAGGCGAAGAAAAUGGAAUUCCACGUGUAGCGGUGAAAUGCGUAGAUAUGCGGAAGAACACCGGUGGCGAAGGCGAUUUUCUAGCUUAUACCUGACGCUGAUGCGCGAAAGCAAGGGGAUCAAACAGGAUUAGAAACCCCUGUAGUCC
rnacentral:rRNA from 1 species